rnacentral:rRNA from 1 species
GUUAUAGGGUCAAGCGAACAAGUGCAUGUGGUGGAUGCCUUGGCGAUCACAGGCGAUGAAGGACGCGGUAGCCUGCGAAAAGCUACGGGGAGCUGGCAAACAAGCUUUGAUCCGUAGAUGUCCGAAUGGGGAAACCCACUCCGUAUGGAGUAUCCAUGGCUGAAUACAUAGGCCAUGCGAAGCGAACGCGGUGAACUGAAACAUCUAAGUAACCGCAGGAAAAGAAAUCAACCGAGAUUCCCAAAGUAGUGGCGAGCGAAAUGGGAUGAGCCUUGUACUCUUUAUUUGUAUUGUUAGCCGAACGCUCUGGAAAGUGCGGCCAUAGCAGGUGAUAGCCCUGUAGGCGAAAACAGUAUGAAAGAACUAGGUGUACGACAAGUAGGGCGGGACACGUGAAAUCCUGUCUGAAGAUGGGGGGACCAUCCUCCAAGGCUAAAUACUCGUGAUCGACCGAUAGUGAACCAGUACCGUGAGGGAAAGGCGAAAAGAACCCCGGGAGGGGAGUGAAAUAGAUCCUGAAACCGCAUGCAUACAAACAGUCGGAGCCUCGUAAGGGGUGACGGCGUACCUUUUGUAUAAUGGGUCAGCGACUUACGUUCAGUAGCAAGCUUAACCGUAUAGGGCAGGCGUAGCGAAAGCGAGUCCGAAUAGGGCGUUCAGUUGCUGGGCGUAGACCCGAAACCAGGUGAUCUAUCCAUGGCCAGGAUGAAGGUGCGGUAACACGUACUGGAGGUCCGAACCCACUAACGUUGAAAAGUUAGGGGAUGAGCUGUGGAUAGGGGUGAAAGGCUAAACAAACCUGGAAAUAGCUGGUUCUCUCCGAAAACUAUUUAGGUAGUGCCUCGUGUCUCACCUUCGGGGGUAGAGCACUGUCAUGGUUGGGGGGUCUAUUGCAGAUUACCCCGCCAUAGCAAACUCCGAAUACCGAAGAGUGCAAUCACGGGAGACAGACAUCGGGUGCUAACGUCCGGUGUCAAGAGGGAAACAACCCAGACCGCCAGCUAAGGUCCCCAAAUAUGGCUAAGUGGGAAACGAAGUGGGAAGGCUAAAACAGUCAGGAGGUUGGCUUAGAAGCAGCCACCCUUUAAAGAAAGCGUAAUAGCUCACUGAUCGAGUCGUCCUGCGCGGAAGAUGUAACGGGGCUAAGCCAUAUACCGAAGCUGCGGAUGCGUGCACUCCUUCAAGUGCACCGAGCUUGUCGCCACGCAGUGGCGACAAAGCACCCAACAAUGAUCGUUGCGGUGUGAUGAGCGGUGGAUUUGAAGGAGUGUACGCAUGGUAGGAGAGCGUUCCGUAAGCCUGCGAAGGUGCCUUGUAAAGGGUGCUGGAGGUAUCGGAAGUGCGAAUGCUGACAUGAGUAGCGAUAAAGGGGGUGAAAGGCCCCCUCGCCGUAAGCCCAAGGUUUCCUACGCAACGUUCAUCGGCGUAGGGUGAGUCGGCCCCUAAGGCGAGGCAGAAAUGCGUAGCUGAUGGGAAGCAGGUCAAUAUUCCUGCACCGUCGUUAGAUGCGAUGGGGGGACGGAUCGCGGAAGGUUGUCCGGGUGUUGGAAGUCCCGGUCGCUGCAUUGGAGAAGGCGCUUAGGCAAAUCCGGGCGCAGGAUUCAAGGGUGUGGCGCGAGCGCUCUAGGGCGCGAAGCAAUUGGAAGUGGUUCCAAGAAAAGCCUCUAAGCUUCAGUCUAACGAUGACCGUACCGCAAACCGACACAGGUGGGCGAGAUGAGUAUUCUAAGGCGCUUGAGAGAACUCGGGAGAAGGAACUCGGCAAAUUGGUACCGUAACUUCGGGAUAAGGUACGCCCUUGUAGCUUGACUGGCCUGCGCCAGGAGGGUGAAGGGGUUGCAAUAAACUGGUGGCUGCGACUGUUUAAUAAAAACACAGCACUCUGCAAACACGAAAGUGGACGUAUAGGGUGUGACGCCUGCCCGGUGCCGGAAGAUUAAAUGAUGGGGUGCAAGCUCUUGAUUGAAGUCCCGGUAAACGGCGGCCGUAACUAUAACGGUCCUAAGGUAGCGAAAUUCCUUGUCGGGUAAGUUCCGACCUGCACGAAUGGCGUAACGAUGGCCACACUGUCUCCUCCCGAGACUCAGCGAAGUUGAAGUGUUUGUGAUGAUGCAAUCUACCCGCGGCUAGACGGAAAGACCCCAUGAACCUUUACUGUAGCUUUGCAUUGGACUUUGAACCGAUCUGUGUAGGAUAGGUGGGAGGCUAUGAAACCGGAACGCCAGUUUCGGUGGAGCCGUCCUUGAAAUACCACCCUGGUUUGUUUGAGGUUCUAACCUUGGCCCGUGAUCCGGGUCGGGGACAGUGCAUGGUAGGCAGUUUGACUGGGGCGGUCUCCUCCCAAAGCGUAACGGAGGAGUACGAAGGUACGCUAGGUACGGUCGGAAAUCGUGCUGAUAGUGCAAUGGCAUAAGCGUGCUUAACUGCGAGACCGACAAGUCGAGCAGGUGCGAAAGCAGGUCAUAGUGAUCCGGUGGUUCUGUAUGGAAGGGCCAUCGCUCAACGGAUAAAAGGUACUCUGGGGAUAACAGGCUGAUACCGCCCAAGAGUUCAUAUCGACGGCGGUGUUUGGCACCUCGAUGUCGGCUCAUCUCAUCCUGGGGCUGUAGCCGGUCCCAAGGGUAUGGCUGUUCGCCAUUUAAAGAGGUACGUGAGCUGGGUUUAAAACGUCGUGAGACAGUUUGGUCCCUAUCUGCCGUGGGCGUUGGAUAUUUGAAGGGGGCUGCUCCUAGUACGAGAGGACCGGAGUGGACGAACCUCUGGUGUACCGGUUGUCACGCCAGUGGCAUCGCCGGGUAGCUAUGUUCGGAAGAGAUAACCGCUGAAAGCAUCUAAGCGGGAAACUCGCCUUAAGAUGAGAUAUCCCUGGGGACUUGAUCCCCUUGAAGGGUCGUUCGAGACCAGGACGUUGAUAGGUCAGGUGUGUAAGCGCAGUAAUGCGUUCAGCUAACUGAUACUAAUUGCCCGUAAGGCUUGAUCCUAUAACA